rnacentral:tRNA from 1 species
GGAAAUGUGCCCGAGAACAUAGGAUUACUUUGAUAGAGUAAAAUACAGAGACUGCAACCUCUCAUUUCCU